rnacentral:lncRNA from 1 species
CUGCUUUCUUGACCCUCUCCGCCAUUUAAAGAAACAGUACCGGGGGCGGGCCGAGCGACGCAGCCGGGACGGCAGUGCGGCGCGGACCGGAGGAGCCAUCUUGUCUCGUCGCCGGGGAGUCAGGCCCCUAACUCGAAGAAGCCCUGGCGCGCCCUCCCCCCCUCCCCGGUCUGGUAGGGCGAAGGAGCGGGCGCGCGGUCGAUCGAGCGAUCGGUUGGCGGCUCUUUCUCCUGCUCUGGCAUCCAGCUCUUGGGGCGCAGGCCCGGCCGCCGCGGCGCGCGCCCGGUGGCCGUUGGCGUUCGCGCCGCGUCUUUCUUCUCGUACGCAGAACUCGGGCGGCGGCCUAUGCGUUUGCUAUCCGACGAGGAGUCGUCCGGGUGGUCGGCGGCGGCGGGCAGUUGCUCCGCCCCGCUCCUGGGGAGGCGGCGGCGGCGGCGGCGGCGGCGGGAUUUGGCACGGCCGGGGAAGCUGGGGUGGCCGGGGCCGGCCUGGAGGCCUGGCACCACCCUUCGGGGCCUGCAAGGACCCAAUUGGGGGGACAGGAGGGAGCCGGGGGAUGGUUGGUGGUGGGCUUUCUACUUUGUCUUUUCCUCCUUAUGCCGCCUUAGUGAGGGGCGGGAGCGCUGGAGGCCGCUCCGGGGUGGAGAGACAAGCUCCGGAGUCGGAAGAGCUGGGUUUGCUUCCGGGCCUAACCACCAGCUGGCCGAGUGACCUUAGGCAAGUCACUCUGUAAUUUGUCUGCGCCUCAGUUUCCUCCUUCUCCAUCAAUGUUUGUGGGAUUGAAAGCGCUUUGUAAACUGUAAAGCGUCGCUGUAUGUAAGGGAUGAUUAUUGUUCGUAAUGGCUUGGUUUUUUGUUUUUUGGUUUUUUUUUUUUUGGAGUUGUAAGAAAACUUAGAAAUUGCCCAAUCCUUGGAUUUUGAACCUGGAAACCUUGGAUUGGAGGUGGAGAUCCCCAAACUCCUUGAAAUUGUAUGCAGAAAUUAGGGGGAAUGUGCAUUUUAGAGAAUGAGAAGCCAUCGCCAGCAAGUUUUCAUUGGGGGCUGUGACCCAGAAGAAUUAAGAACCACAUUUCCUUUGUCACAAGGAGGAAACUGAGGCCAGAUGUCAUUUGGGACCCUUCACAACCAAUUCGAAGCCCCUGUUUGAAUCCCUGAGAUAUGUGAGCUGUUCUGUGCAUAGUGGAUAUUCGUGGUAACAACACUCCACUUCUUGGCUUCUAUUUUGAGUUCUUUCACCAUGGGUUGCCUAAAGGGUGACUGAUGCUUAAAGGUACAGUGGCACCCAGCAUAAAGCAGCUAAAACUGGGCAUGGAUAUGUUCUCUAGUAUCAAGAAGCUUAUUUAAUCUUUGGCCCAACAACUUUUUUUUUUUCUGGUGCCUGACUACCUUUCUGACUCUUCAUUGACCAUUUUCUAUGACCAUGGUUGCCAUCCGUUACUUUCCCCUAUUUUAUAUUCCUAGUCUGUGUGGUUGGUAGUGAGCAGGCUUAUUUUUAAAUGGUGCUGCCAAGUCCAACUAAUUAAUGGUGCAGGUGGAUUUUUAGCAAGCUGGCUCACUAGAACAGACUGAACCAGGCAUGGAAUUCUUGAAAAUGUUUGGGGGGUUGAGUCUUUAUUAAUUGAAGGUUAACGUUUUCUGAGAAGUUUUGUUAGAAUUUUCUGCUGAACCUCAAAAUCAGAUUGAAAGUGUUUCAACCUUAAAUUUUUUCUGGUCUGCUUUGUAUUCUAUUUGCUUGCAAGUGUGUUACUAAGAUGGCCAAAAUGCCAGUUUUUGCUUCUUUGUUAAUUGUCAGCUGCUUUUAUCAAAUAUCAGGCAGUUAUCCAGCAAACACUAUAGAAAUGUUUGAACAGUUGGCUUUCAAACAUUUUCAUUUUGUGGAGUGGUGCUUACCAUUGGUACAGCUCUAAGCAAGCAAACGCAAACACUUUUAAGUGUAUUUUGUCUGUUAGGUGUUAGCCGGUUCUGCUAUUUCAUACAAAUGUCUGGAAAUCAAUUGACUAUUCCCUUUACCUAGAGGGCAGAGACAAAUGAUCUCAAUUCCAGAGAAAUGACUGUUUUGGAGAAAACUGUGUUGGUCUUUUAGCUCUUUUGUAAUUAAAUCUGGAUGUACCUCAAAAGAAUCUUAAGACUGGUGAUAAAAUGCUUUCCUCAGGAGAAAGGAGGAAAAAAACCAACUGGAACUCAAAGCUUGAAAUUCUUUGACAAACAUAAGAUAUCCAGGAUGGGAAGUUGAAAGGGUUUCACUACAUAGCGUUCUGCACUAGCUGGAGCAGAUGUCUUUCAGUGUGGUUAUGGCGUGGACUUCAGAUUUUCAAGAACUGGAUCUGGGACCUGGAAGAAUUAUCAAGAUGUGACACGAAGUUGGGAGCUGGAUUUUUUUAUUUUUGAAUUUAUGGACUCUUGUCCUUGCUUUGAGAAAAGACAAUGACUGAGCAAGCACUGCCACCAGCGCUGUUACUGGGAAUUCGGAGACCUGAGUUUUUGCCAGAUCCUCGGUGCAAACUCUGGCGACGCUCCAUCCAAAGUGAAAAACGUCUUGUGCCUCCUGGUUGCCGAGUAUUCACCUGGACCUUCUAACCACUUUCCUUGAGCUAUUCCAUCAGCCUUCAUAUCUGAUACCUGGAAUUUUGCCCAUGGUGAUUCCUGCCACCUUACUACUGAAGAAGACAACCAUGCCAGUGAACCACUGUGACUCGAGGCAUCCAGCAAAUUUGAAUCAUCAUCAUGUGGCCUUCACCUCCACUCCUGUCCUGUUCUACCCAGAUUCAACACAGCCCUUUGUAGUGAAGUCAAACUCCUCAAGCCAAAUAGCUGAAGCUGUUUUAUCACAAUUAAGGCUCAGUUUGUUCCAUGAGUGUGCUUUCGUUUCUUCAGUUAAAGCCUUCAGAGACACAUAAUAAAUUUGGACCAGGGGAUUUUAGUUAUCAACACUGUCUGAAGAAUGGCACCAUCUUUUUGAGAACCACAUUGAACCCCGCCCCAAAAUCUCAAAUGAUUGAAGUUCAUGAAGUAUCUAAGAUCCCAUCCAAGUCACUGAACUCUGUUUUUCCAUUUCAAAUCUGUAGUAUCCUACUGAAUAAGCAAGCAGAUAUUCUGACCGUUUGGGAUUAAAACAAAGGCACAGUGAACUCAGAGCAUCCUUGGGAUUACUCAGGAACCAGAACUUUUCACACAAAUGUAAGAAAUUCUACCAAGAUAUCCCUUUACCUAACAGCAUCUCACAAAGCUCCAAUCAGAUUCCAGAAAAGGCCUCUUGAUACAUCCAGCAUUUUGUGAACAGCUUAUUCUUAGAUCAUUGGUUUUCCAAAGGCUUUGUGGCCAUGAAGCCCUUUGAAUGAAUGCUAUACGGAAGACCAGAGUUAAAGUGAAGCUGCUCUGGAAGAAGCAGAAGUGGGGGGCCUGAAACCUGCCACAAGCAUCUUACUUUACCACCAUGGUGACACCUAAGGAGACUUCUUUACAGCACCUAGAAUUCUUCAGAACACAGUUUGAAAACCACUGCCCUAGACGACAUUGUGUUCAACUUGAAAGGCAUUCUGUUCUGUACCUCUACCCAACACCAUCCAUGUUCAGUUGAUGUUCAACAUCAUUAAGAAUACUUAACUGUGGGUAAACUCAGAAAAGUACAAGAAGAUGGGCAUAUCUUUGCCCAUCUGCCCUUUGCCCCUAGAUGGACUUCCAGUGAUUCCUAGAAUUGGAUAUAGCUAGAGAGCAAUUCAUACAUACUCUACACUGAUAAACCCCUUUACCCAGUUUCUUUUUAUAAACACCAGAUACUCUAGUGGUACUUGAAAUACAUGACCUCGAAGUCUUAAUCCUCCUUGGAUACAUGAAUGACGUGGUAUUGAAGUUGAUGCCUCAUUGAGGUCAUAUUCAACCAACUAUACAUUGGACCUCCUGUCAUCAGCCAUGGUACUCUACUUUGUGUGCAAGGGAUAACCAUUAACUGUGAAAGUAGAAUUCAAAUAUUGGCAAUGUUACCUAAAAGGGUACGUGGUUUUAUUCACCUUCUCAAACUAUAAGUUACUGUCACUCAACCAGUGGCAGUUACACUGCUCCUUGGUUUUUAAUUCAGUUUGAUUGCUGUUUCCAGGAUUUAAUGAGCUAAUAAUCCUUAAGAAAAAUUGCUAAAACAAUUCCUCCAUCACUGGCAUAUCUGCCUAUUCUGCUCUAAAAUUACAAUACUCAGCUCAACUACAUGUAACACCUGAUCCACAGGAGACAAUAUCUGAACAUACUUUCUUGUGAUUUAAAAUGUGGCCAUUUGCAAAACUUUCUUCCAAACAACGGGAGAUUUUAAGAUGGGUCUUUUAAUGUUUCUUCCAAACAACUGUAGAUGUUAAGGAUAUUUGGAGGUAGGCCUUUUGACCAGGCCACAGUAGCUUACUCGGAGGGCAUGUCAGAUUGCAUGUCAUCUACCUUUUUGCUGGAAAUGUAGACCAACUUGAAAGAAAAUCUGCAAAGCCUGUGGCUACAGAUUUUAUGAGUAGACUCAAGAGCUUCCUGAUGCUUCUUAAUGUCACAAGACCACAGUCCCUUAUCCUUAUGGAUAUUUCCAUGGAAUUUCAUCUGUCUCAAUACUGUUUUACACUGAAUCAGAGUGGCUGACUUCAUUCCUCGUCUUGAGAUACUCUUGGGCAUUAAGACAACCCAUAUGUCUCUGCAGGAGGGAUUCAAUUAAUGAACUCCCAGACCAGAUCAUGUAGAACAAGUAGACUUCACUUUGUGUCAUGAGAAAAAAAAAAAUCUCAUUUCUUUACUUCAGAGUCAACUUAAGGGCCAGCUGUCCUCAACUACUUUAAUGAAUGCACUGGUUAAAUGUUGGGAAUGGUUUCUUUAUAUCUUUGUCUCAUCCUCUGUACUAACUGACUCAGUCUUCAAAUCAUCAAACAGGGCCUAAGUCUGAUUACUCUGUACUGCUCAACCCUCAACAAAUUAAAAUCUGAUGACCAGCCUGCUUGUAUAUGCAACUAUUAUUUGUAAAGAAGAAGCUUAUCUGCAGACUCAUUGUUUUCUACCUUGAAAAUGUCAGCUUGACUUUCCUUUUCUCCUGUACUUGACAGAAAAAGACAUUGAUCUACACUGCAAGUCAUUCCUUUCAAUCCUGUCAAAAUGAGGGACCUAAAAUGAAAAUGAUCAUCUAUUCAAGAGUCUGAUGUACACUGUGUAUAGGAAUUGAUGAUUCAAAAAGCCUAAAACUCAAACCUUUUAUCUUCAUGCCUCAAAUCUCAUCUAAAUCUUUUAGCAGUACCAUUCAACCAGUCUGAGGCCUUGAUGUCCUUGUAAGAUGAUUCUCAAGAGAUGUGCUGAGUUCCAGAAGAUGGAGACUUGAUUACCAAAGAAAGUAGGGCCAACCUUGAUGAACCUGGCUCUCCCAACCCUGUCACUCCCAGAUGUAGCAUAGACUCCUAAACAGAACCCUCAAGUCUGUAUCGAGGAUAUAACCCUCUGAGCUGAAAGAUCUUGGGCAGAUGAGCAGGAAAAUGAAAGUUGCUGUACCUGACUGGCCCAGUAUGAUCAGAAAAUUGUAUCCAGAGUAAACCCUAUGGAUUAAUAACCCUGGAGUACUCAGGGUAAAAACUAAUUUACAGAGCUUUGAUAUUAAACUGCCUGUUCUUCCAGAUCAUAGCCUGGCUAUUGAUAUGGCUGGCCCUGCUUGCCUCUUUACCUAACUCAGCCCUUGCCUGCCUUUUUGACUGCAGUCCAACUGGCUGUGCUUGAUAAAACUACAGCUGAUCUCAACCUAUCUUAUACCCAGUUCCACCAAGGAGUUUUGAACAGAAGCACCCUGCACCCCACCAUGACUUAGUGUUCACUGCAGGAAGGAGCAUGCUUUUUUUUUUUUUUUUUUUUUUUAAUUUUAUCUUUUUUAAUACUUGGGACCCUUUCUACUAGGCCUGGAGGAGUACAGCAGAUUGAAAGCAUUGCCCAUUCUCUCUUCUACAGUAAUACAGAGAUGAAGCUGAUUCACCAGGACUCACAGAAAUGUACCGAUUCAACUUGGCAAAAGACAUGAACACAAGAAAACUUUUCCACUAAACUUAAAAUUCGCCACUGACUUGAAUAGCCUCAUAGAACUAUUUGCCAGUAGAAGGCUGGUUGUCCUGCUUCAUGUCAGCAAGACAGCUGGACUCUCACACAUGACCACUGAGUUUGCUUACAUCGAAACUGUUGUAUCAUUCAAAGUAUCUACUGGACAUGAUUAUUCCAUUCAAAUGGAUUACAAGCUUCGAGUAGAAGACAGACUUACUCCUCAUGAUUUUUUCCAGAAUGCUCCUAUUGUCAAGGAAGUCUACACCAGCUGUUAACCAUUCAACUCUAUGAGCAGAGAUUAAAUUUUUUCAAUAUCUGUUCUUAUCGUUGACAUCAGUUGUUUUUGAUUGACCAACACCUAUUCCAUCUCUUUAUAAAUAAAAACAACUCCCUGAUGCUUCUUGGAACCACCUCUCUCUUUUUCAAUUCAUAUGGUUCAGUCUGACCUAACCUUAGGUUUCAUGGGUGGACAUGUAAUUCAAACCUGAUCAGUCAGCAAAAUCCAUCUCCUUGACCAUAGUGAUUGGUUCAGGAAUGAUCAUGUGAUUCAAGUUGGUCCAGUGAUUACUUAAUCCUGAGAGUUUUAGUGAACUGUGUAGGAGAAGCUCAGAGGCUGUUUACUGAGGUUGCUUAGCUCUGUAGGAUGAAAAGCUCAAACCAACAGGGCCUACCAUAUCAAAUAAGCCAGUCAGAGAAUGAAGCCAGUGCAGAGGAAGGCGGAGCCAAAUGAUGGAGAGACUUAAGUUCUGAUGAUAAUUUUUUGUGCCCCUGGAUCCAACCGUGCCUGAAGCUAGAAUAUCCCCUGGACUUUUCAGUUAUGUAAACCAAUAAAGACCCUUUUUUGCUUAA